CCCCUGUACCCAUUCCCCCACCCUGCAGGCAGCUCUUGUGCUGGUCCUGGUCACCUAGAUACCAGAGAGAGCAUUAAAGGCCCAUCAGGGAGGCCAGAGGAGCUGGGAGGAGGAGAGCCAGGCCCGCUCCCCUCCCUGUGGGCCCUCAUUCAGCCCCUGGGGCAGGGGAGGACCUUCCUAGAACCAUCUGAUCAGACUUCAGUACUUGGGUGCUGCCUAGGCCUGUGGCUGCUGGUCUGAGCACCUCUAACUUGGACACUAGACACAUUGCUGCCCCUCUGCUUACCCCCUCUGUGAGCUGAAGGGGCCCUACUUCCUUCAGAGGGUCUCAUAUGCCUCUGCCCACACCCUAUUCCAUCCACUGGAAAAAAGACUCUGCUCUCUUCAUACUUUUGAAGCUGCCUCAGGUUUGAGGUCUGGUGCCAGAUGCUGAGUCUCAGGCCUCAGUAGUUCUGCACUGAAAUAACUCAGAGUUUUCACAAUAAACCCCUGAGCUGGCAGCCAUGCAGGGCACAUGGUCUGUAUGAAAGCAGAACCUCUGAACAAGGUGACAACUGAGCAAGACAAAGCGUGGACGGUUUUCUGGACAACAGGCUCAGCAGAAUCUACACUGGAGACACACAGGCCACUCUGGCUCCCACACCAAAUGCGUCCCAGCUGCUCCCACCUGCAAGCUGUCCUCAAGGUGCUUGAGAGCUAGUGCAGAAUCUGGAAUUGGGCUUGCUUCUUUUUGGGGCCCAGUACCUCAGAAGAAGCUGGAGGAGCCAUGGCCUCAGCAAGGAGGGAAGGACAUAGGAGUUUCCCUUCUGGAAGGUGCGCAGAGGCCCAGAAUGACCUUACUUGUCCCCGCACCCUAUUAGUCCUGCCCCAAGAGGUUCAGGCAACUCAGACACCCACAUUCACAUGGUAGGAGAACUUGGUCACAGGCAUCAUCGCCUGGGAGGAACUUCAGAACUUAUGGAACAUUUUUGCACCUGGAAACGGG